rnacentral:rRNA from 1 species
AACGAACGCUGGCGGCAGGCUUAACACAUGCAAGUCGAACGGGUGUAGCAAUACAUCAGUGGCAGACGGGUGAGUAACACGUGGGAACCUUCCUAGGGGUACGGAACAACUCAGGGAAACUUGAGCUAAUACCGUAUACGUCCGUGAGGAGAAAGAUUUAUCGCCCUUAGACGGGCCCGCGCCGGAUUAGGUAGUUGGUGGGGUAACGGCCUACCAAGCCUACGAUCCGUAGCUGAUCUUAGAGGAUGAUCAGCCACACUGGGACUGAGACACGGCCCAGACUCCUACGGGAGGCAGCAGUGGGGAAUCUUGGACAAUGGGCGCAAGCCUGAUCCAGCCAUGCCGCAUGAGUGAAGAAGGCCUUAGGGUUGUAAAGCUCUUUUACCAGGGACGAUAAUGACGGUACCUGGAGAAUAAGCCCCGGCAAACUUCGUGCCAGCCGCCGCCGUAAUAC